rnacentral:tRNA from 1 species
ACCGCCGUGCCGGAGCCGGCGUCGGCGGCGCUGCUGCUGUCGGCGCUGGCGCUGCGCUCGGCGGCGCGGCGGCGCUA